GACGAACGCUGGCGGCGUGCUUAACACAUGCAAGUCGAACGGAAAGGCCCUGCUUUUGUGGGGUGCUCGAGUGGCGAACGGGUGAGUAACACGUGAGUAACCUGCCCUUGACUUUGGGAUAACUUCAGGAAACUGGGGCUAAUACCGGAUAGGAGCUCCUGCUGCAUGGUGGGGGUUGGAAAGUUUCGGCGGUUGGGGAUGGACUCGCGGCUUAUCAGCUUGUUGGUGGGGUAGUGGCUUACCAAGGCUUUGACGGGUAGCCGGCCUGAGAGGGUGACCGGCCACAUUGGGACUGAGAUACGGCCCAGACUCCUACGGGAGGCAGCAGUGGGGAAUAUUGCACAAUGGGCGGAAGCCUGAUGCAGCAACGCCGCGUGCGGGAUGACGGCCUUCGGGUUGUAAACCGCUUUCGCCUGUGACGAAGCGUGAGUGACGGUAAUGGGUAAAGAAGCACCGGCUAACUACGUGCCAGCAGCCGCGGCGAUACGUAGGGUGCGAGCGUUGUCCGGAUUUAUUGGGCGUAAAGGGCUCGUAGGUGGUUGAUCGCGUCGGAAGUGUAAUCUUGGGGCUUAACCCUGAGCGUGCUUUCGAUACGGGUUGACUUGAGGAAGGUAGGGGAGAAUGGAAUUCCUGGUGGAGCGGUGGAAUGCGCAGAUAUCAGGAGGAGCACCAGUGGCGAAGGCGGUUCUCUGGGCCUUUCCUGACGCUGAGGAGCGAAAGCGUGGGGAGCGAACAGGCUUAGAUACCCUGGUAGUCCACGCUGUAAACGGUGGGUACUAGGUGUGGGGUCCAUUCCACGGGUUCCGUGCCGUAGCUAACGCUUUAAGUACCCCGCCUGGGGAGUACGGCCGCAAGGCUAAAACUCAAAGGAAUUGACGGGGCCCCGCACAAGCGGCGGAGCAUGCGGAUUAAUUCGAUGCAACGCGUAGAACCUUACCUGGGUUUGACAUGGAUCGGGAGUGCUCAGAGAUGGGUGUGCCUCUUUUGGGGUCGGUUCACAGGUGGUGCAUGGCUGUCGUCAGCUCGUGUCGUGAGAUGUUGGGUUAAGUCCCGCAACGAGCGCAACCCUUGUUCACUGUUGCCAGCACGUUAUGGUGGGGACUCAGUGGAGACCGCCGGGGUCAACUCGGAGGAAGGUGGGGAUGACGUCAGGUCAUCAUGCCCCUUAUGUCCAGGGCUUCACGCAUGCUACAAUGGCUGGUACAGAGAGUGGCGAGCCUGUGAGGGUGAGCGAAUCUCGGAAAGCCGGUCUCAGUUCGGAUUGGGGUCUGCAACUCGACCUCAUGAAGUCGGAGUCGCUAGUAAUCGCAGAUCAGCAACGCUGCGGUGAAUACGUUCCCGGG
rnacentral:rRNA from 1 species